rnacentral:lncRNA from 12 species
AAUUCCUCAUUUAACCCUGCCUCCAAAGGGAGAUAAGCUCUUUGAGAAGCAGGUUUUUAGGGCUGCCCUCCAUUAUUACAGAACUAUAUUCUCUCAACACCAUGAACUUUCUUUGAAUCACAUCCAAAUUGGUCUCUGUCAGAAUUCAGACAUUCAGGGGUUGACAACAAAUCUGAUUCCUCUGAUACAUGCUUCUCAGGUUGCAUUCAUAUUAUUCUUCACAGAACUGUACCAAAGCCUAAUUUGGGAUGGAAGCUAAAUUUUCAAAAUAGAAACUGAUGAAGAAUACAGUGCCCUGUAUUUUGGCUCUAGUUAAUCAUUACUUUCUGCGUUGCAUAGAGUUUUAAAAAUAAGAAUAACCACCAAAUAAAAAUAAUGAUAUCAAAUUACAACAACACCCCUUUAAGCCUCUCUGACUCCUCUUUGGAUGCAGUGGAGAUAGAGAGGCUGACUUAUUUGAAGGCAUGAAGCUUUUGCCUCUUUUUUUUUUUUUUUUUUUUUUAUGAGUUCAUUGGGUUAGACCCUGGGUAUUAGUUUUAAGGAAGUGAAUGAUGAAAUCUAUUGAGCAAUGAGUUUCUUCUUCUCCAUCUUCCCCAUCUCAUUUCAUCUGAUCUCAGGGAUAUCCUAUAGGGCGGUUGCGGCUGGUGAACCUCAGAUCAUGAUCCCGCCACAUCUGCAGGGCUACUCCUAUGACCAGGAUACACACACUCUUCAAUCUAAGAAAUAUGCGGUGAGUGCCUACCAUGUGCCUGUCAUCAGGAUAACUGUUGAAUUUAAAAGAUGCAUGAAAAUCUCUGUGCUGAAGAUGUUUACAGCCUUGUGGGAACAUAAGACUUCACAUAAAUAACUACGGAAAUUAAAAGAGGUAUUGCUAUGGUAUCUUGAUGGACUAACUUUAGCCUGGGGAGAGUUAGGAAAAUCUUCACAAAAGAGAUGACAUUUGUUGGAGCUGAGUCUUGAAGAGUGAGUGGGAGUUGGCCAGGUGCAGAAAGAAGGAGAGCAUCCCAGGCAGAGUGAACAGCACGUUCAAAGGCAUAAAGCAGAGCUUUCCAAAGUCUAUCAGAAGCACCAGGGGAUGGGGGUGGUGCUUUCUCAAAAUGCAGAUUCCAGUGCUCAUGCAGAUGUAUUUGGAAUUAGAAACUCAUAGGCAGGGCUUAAGAAUUUUAGCAAGAAUGCAAUUGUAUUCUUGUGCACUCUAUAGUUGAAAACCAUUGGUAUGGAGAAAAGACAAGGGUUUCUGGAUAUUCCCUGAAUAAAGCCAGUCCCACAAUGGAAUAUAGAGAUUUU